rnacentral:rRNA from 1 species
AACGAACGCUGGCGGCAGGCUUAACACAUGCAAGUCGAACGGGUGCAGCAAUGCAUCAGUGGCAGACGGGUGAGUAACACGUGGGGAACCUUCCUAGGGGUACGGAACAACUCAGGGAAACUUGAGCUAAUACCGUAUACGUCCGUGAGGAGAAAGAUUUAUCGCCCUUAGACGGGCCCGCGUCGGAUUAGCUAGUUGGUGGGGUAAACGGCCUACCAAGGCGACGAUCCGUAGCUGAUCUUAGAGGAUGAUCAGCCACACUGGGACUGAGACACGGCCCAGACUCCUACGGGAGGCAGCAGUGGGGAAUCUUGGACAAUGGGCGCAAGCCUGAUCCAGCCAUGCCGCGUGAGUGAAGAAGGUCUUCGGAUUGUAAAGCUCUUUGCCAGGGACGAUAAUGACGGUACCUGGAGAAUAAGCCCCGGCAAACUUCGUGCCAGCAGCCGCGGUAAU